UCGAGCGGUAAGGCCCCUUCGGGGGUACACGAGCGGCGAACGGGUGAGUAACACGUGAGCAACCUACCCUCAACUUCGGGAUAAGCCUCGGAAACGGGGUCUAAUACCGGAUAUCACUUCCUGCCUCAUGGUGGGGGGUUGAAAGUUCUGGCGGUUGGGGAUGGGCUCGCGGCCUAUCAGCUUGUUGGUGGGGUAAUGGCCUACCAAGGCGUCGACGGGUAGCCGGCCUGAGAGGGCGACCGGCCACACUGGGACUGAGACACGGCCCAGACUCCUACGGGAGGCAGCAGUGGGGAAUAUUGCGCAAUGGACGAAAGUCUGACGCAGCAACGCCGCGUGAGGGAUGACGGCCUUCGGGUUGUAAACCUCUUUCAGCAGGGACGAAGCGAGAGUGACGGUACCUGCAGAAGAAGGACCGGCCAACUACGUGCCAGCAGCCGCGGUAAUACGUAGGGUCCGAGCGUUGUCCGGAAUUAUUGGGCGUAAAGGGCUCGUAGGCGGUUCGUCACGUCGGGAGUGAAAACUCGGAGCUCAACUCCGAGCCUGCUUCCGAUACGGGCAGACUAGAGGUAGGCAGGGGAGAGCGGAACUCCUGGUGUAGCGGUGGAAUGCGCAGAUAUCAGGAAGAACACCGGUGGCGAAGGCGGCUCUCUGGGCCUUACCUGACGCUGAGGA
rnacentral:rRNA from 1 species